GCCAUGCCAUCCUUCUAUCUGAGGCACCCAGAGGAGGAAGGUGGAGCAUGGAGCCCAGAUGUACCCAGGGGAAAAGGACAAGGGCAGGGGGGAAUAGUGGCCUGUUUUAACCCUCUGUGCAAGGCGGGUCCCACUCCCCAGCUUCCCUGGUGAAGAGCUUCAGGUCUGCACUGGGGACAGCACAAGAGUCCAUCCAACGCUGAGAGACAGCCUGUCCGUUCCAUGAGACUCCUAGGCCAGUGACCAGUUUCUCCCACUGUUGACCACGGUCAAGACUCCUUGCCAAAAUAAGCUGGGAAAAGUUUUGUGAGUGCCCGGAUUCCAGCAGGAGUUGAGCUGGUCUGAGAAGAAAAACAGAGAAAAAGGAAAUUGCUCCAAAUGUUGAUUUGUUUAAACUUCUUCACCAACUUUACAACACAAGGCAACCAACAGAGACACACUUGUAAUGAAGUAAUCGGCCAUCGCAGCUAAUUUUCCAGCAACAAGAAAUGAUUCCCACUUCAUGGGGUCAAGAAGAAAUUGUGGUUCCUCUCAUAUAAAUGAAUGUCAGGAGAAGGAAAGGAAGGGGGGUAAUUAGGAAUGAGAAAUGGGGUCACAAUGCUUCUCCUUUUAGUUCAAAAAUGAAAAAUAGGGGCUGGAGGGAUAGAUCAGUGGUAGAGUGUGGGGCCCUGAGUUUGAUCCCUAGCACUUUGAAAAGAAAUAAAAGAAAGAAAGAAAAGUAGAUAGGCUUAGAGGACAAUCAGAGGUAAGAGGAGAGAGCUACCAACAAAAGAGGAUUACAUGGGUCAGGCAUAGUGGCCCAAGCCUGUAAUGCCAGCAACUUGGGAGGCUGAGGCAGGAGGAUUCCAAGUUGGAGGCUGGCCUCAGUAAU